GACGAACGCUGGCGGCGUGCCUAAUACAUGCAAGUAGGACGCAGUUGCGAACGGGUGAGUAACGCGUAGGUAACUGCCUAUUAGAGGGGGAUAACUAUUGGAAACGAUAGCUAAUACCGCAUACUAGUAGAUGGACCUGCGUUGUAUUAGCUAGUAGGUAGGGUAAUGGCCUAUCUAGGCGACGAUACAUAGCCGACCUGAGAGGGUAAACUGCGACACUGGGACUUGGACACGGCCCAGACACCUACGGGAGGCAGCAGUAGGGAGUCAUCGGCAAUGGGAGGAACCCUGACCGGGCAACGCCGCGUGAGUAAAGAAGGUGUUCGGAUCGUAAAGCUCUGUUGUUAAGGAAGCGGUACUUAACCGGAAAGGGACGGCUAACUACGUGCCAGCAGCCGCGGUAAUAC
rnacentral:rRNA from 1 species